GUGUCUAUGAUGAGAACUAAUCUUGUUGAAAACAGAAGACACCACAAAAAUCAAGCUGGAUAGGAUUACACUGAAGCCC
ensembl:snoRNA SNORD115 Small nucleolar RNA SNORD115